rnacentral:rRNA from 1 species
GACGAACGCUGGCGGCGGGCUUAACACAUGCAAGUCGAACGGAAAGGCCCUGCUUUUGUGGGGUGCUCGAGUGGCGAACGGGUGAGUAACACGUGAGUAACCUGCCCUUGACUUUGGGAUAACUUCAGGAAACUGGGGCUAAUACCGGAUAGGAGCUCCUGCUGCAUGGUGGGGGUUGGAAAGUUUCGGCGGUUGGGGAUGGACGCGCGGCUUAUCAGCUUGUUGGUGGGGUAGUGGCUUACCAAGGCUUUGACGGGUAGCCGGCCUGAGAGGGUGACCGGGCACAUUGGGACUGAGAUACGGACCAGACUCCUACGGGAGGCAGCAGUGGGGAAUAUUGCACAAUGGGCGGAAGCCUGAUGCAGCAACGCCGCGUGCGGGAUGACGGCCUUCGGGUUGUAAACCGCUUUCGCCUGUGACGAAGCGUGAGUGACGGUAAUGGGUAAAGAAGCACCGGCUAACUACGUG